GGGCGAUUAGCUCAGUUGGCUAGAGCGUCUCGUUUACACCGAGAGGGUCGGCGGUUCGAGUCCGUCAUCGCCCACCA
rnacentral:tRNA from 1 species